UUUCGCAAUGCCCGAAAGGGUGACAAUGCGACGCCGCGUGAGCGAUGAAGGCCUUCGGGUUGUAAAGCUCUUUCAGCAGGGAUGAAGGCAGAACGGUUAAUAGCCGUUCUGCUUGACGGUACCUGUAGAAGAAACCACGGCUAACUCCGCGCCAGCAGCCGCGGUAAUACGGAGGUGGCAAGCGUUGUUCGGAUUUACUGGGUGUAAAGGAUGUGUAGGCGUCUUUUUAAGUCGGGUGUGAAAUCCCAUGGCUCAACCAUGGAACUGCACUCGAUACUGGAAGGAUUGAGUACGAGAGAGGUAAGCGGAAUUCCAGAAGUAAGGGUGAAAUCUGUAGAUAUCUGGAAGAACACCAUUAGCGAAGGCGGCUUACUGGCUCGAUACUGACGCUGAAAUAUGAAAGCUUGGGGAGCAAACAGGAUUAGAUACCCUGGUAGUCCAAGCUGUAAACGAUGGGCACUAAGUAGAGGGGUUUU
rnacentral:rRNA from 1 species